rnacentral:tRNA from 2 species
AAGAUUUUAAGUUAAAAAAACUAUUAGCCUUCAAAGUUGAAAAUGAAUAACAAAUUUUAAAUCUUA